UACGUAGGGGGCGAGCGUUGUCCGAAUUUACUGGGCGUAAAGAGCUCGUAGGCGGUUUGUCGCGUCUGCUGUGAAAACUCGGGGCUCAACUCCGAGCUUGCAGUGGGUACGGGCAGACUAGAGUGCGGUAGGGGAGACUGGAAUUCCUGGUGUAGCGGUGGAAUGCGCAGAUAUCAGGAGGAACACCGGUGGCGAAGGCGGGUCUCUGGGCCGUAACUGACGCUGAGGAGCGAAAGCAUGGGGAGCGAACAGG
rnacentral:rRNA from 1 species